AUGAGAUUGAAGGUUGGGAGAAUCAGAGAGAGAGGGAUUCAACAGGAAGUUGAAAUUUCCGAGUUGCGGAUGGGGGUUGAGGAUGGAAGAGAGAGAGAAGAAGAAAUAGUUUUUUCAGAUAAUCCUCUGGGUAUGAGAUACGUUUUGGAGGAAGAUGACAGAGAACAUAAAGAUGAUGCCAAUGUGAAUUUUGGAGCAGUAGUAUCCAAAGGGAAAUCAGCCAUUAGGAGAGGGAGGUGUACUCCAAGAUAA